GAAUGAGAAUGAGAAUGAGAGAAUGAUGGUGUGAACCAGGGAAAGCCAGCCUGAGCUGGUCUGCAGCAUGGGCACAGAAAGCGUUGCUUCCUUUGAAAACUAUCAACAAACUACUAAUGUUGACUUUCUUGGCUCUUGACGACCCUCCUCUCCUGUCUUCUGUUUCUUUUUAGAUGGUUUCUUCAAUCUCUGUUGGCUCCUCUCUCCAUCCAUUGUGGGAUCUUAUGGAUUGGGCCUUGGGACUCUGAGAUGCAUGGGGCGCCCAGGGUUCGUCUGAGGACAUGCUGUACAAACUCUAUCUUUUAGUCUCAAUGCCACUGUGGACACUCAGAAAAGCUAUUUUAAAAGCAGCUCAUCAGCCAAAUUUUCCAGGGGAACCACCCUCUCCCCUUCGGACUCCAUUCUGGUAU